CUUAACUCUAAUGGCUGCGCCUCACCAGUCCAGCUGGGAGCCGGUGUCUGUCGCUGCGCAUGUCGGACUCAAGGCGUUUCUAAGCCUCGGUCAGACGCUCAUGUUGCUGCCUCUCAGCCUUUAGAUGUGAUUGUGGAUGAAAACCUUCUGCUGAUAUCACGGUUUGACUAGUGGGAACAGACAGUAACUUGGGAGCAGCUUCAUUCAAAGGAUUAGCAGCCAGUUAAUGCUUUUUAACAGUGGCGCACAUUAGUCAGGUGGAUGCGAAAACAUAAAUCAGCCCCCCCCCCGAGGGAAGGAACUUCAGGGUGAAGGACCGACGCUCAAACAGGAUGACAAAAUGAACAGCAGUUACUCAGACAUCAGACUUGUUUGCCUUUACUGGUGAUGAAAACUCGUCAGGAAAGGAAGAGGAGAGAGGAAGAGGAGAGAGGAAGACCGGCUCCGCCCCGUCCAGGAUGACCGUCAAGGUAGCCAACAAAGUCUGCAGGUAGAUUUUUGCAUAUCUGGUGCUCCGGUUUCCAGAUCAUAGUUUAACAAAGUAA